rnacentral:rRNA from 1 species
ACUUCUUGCUCAUUCCGUUUAUAUACCACCGUCGCCAGCUUAUCCUGUGAAGGUACAGCAGUAAGCAGGAUGGGUAAAGCCCAGAACGUCAGGUCGAGGCGCAGCGUACGAAGUAGGAAGAAAUGGGCUACAUUAUCUGACACAGAUAAUUCACGGAGAGUUGCCUGAAAUAAGCACUCUGAAGGUGGAUUUAGCAGUAAGGAGAGAGUAGAGAGCUCUCCUGAAGCCGGCUCUGGAGCGCGCACACACCGCCCGUCAUUCUCUCCGAUAACAUGAUACCUUGUAGCUAACACAAUACCAACCACUAAGGAGAGGUAAGUCGUAACAUGGUAAGUGUACCGGAAGGUGCACUUGGAAUAAC